GAUGAACGCUGACAGAAUGCUUAACACAUGCAAGUCAACUUGAACUUCGGUUUGGGUGGCGGACGGGUGAGUAACGCGUAAAGAACUUGCCUCACAGAUAGGGACAACAUUUGGAAACGAAUGCUAAUACCUGAUAUUAUGAUUUUAGGGCAUCCUAGGAUUAUGAAAGCUAUAUGCGCUGUGAGAGAGCUUUGCGUCCCAUUAGCUAGUUGGAGAGGUAACGGCUCACCAAGGCGAUGAUGGUAGCCGGCCUGAGAGGGUGAUCGGCCACAAGGGGACUGAGACACGGCCCUUACUCCUACGGGAGGCAGCAGUGGGGAAUAUUGGACAAUGGACCAAGAGUCUGAUCCAGCAAUUCUGUGUGCACGAUGAAGUUUUUCGGAAUGUAAAGUGCUUUCAGUUGGGAAGAAAAAAAUGACGGUACCAACAGAAGAAGUGACGGCUAAAUACGUG
rnacentral:rRNA from 1 species